GGAGGAUUAGCUCAGCUGGGAGAGCGUCUGCCUUACAAGCAGAGGGUCGGCGGUUCGAUCCCGUCAUCCUCCA
rfam:Bacillus coagulans 36D1, complete genome.